UGCCAACAGAGGGAAGCAAAGCGGCGACGUGGAGCAAAACCCUAAAAGCAGUCUCAGUUCGGAUCGCAGGCUGCAACUCGCCUGCGUGAAGUUGGAAUUGCUAGUAAUCGCGGAUCAGCAUGCCGCGGUGAAUACGUUCCCGGGCCUUGUACACACCGCCCGUCACACCAUGGGAGUUUGUAACACCCGAAGUCAGUAUCCUAACCGCGAAGGGGGGAGCUGCCGAAGGUGGGAUAAGCGACUGGGGUGAAGUCGUAACAAGGUACC
rnacentral:rRNA from 1 species